rnacentral:rRNA from 1 species
UACGUAGGGUGCGAGCGUUAAUCGGAAUUACUGGGCGUAAAGCGUGCGCAGGCGGUUUGUAAGUCAGAUGUGAAAUCCCCGGGCUCAACCUGGGAACUGCGUUUGAAACUACAAGGCUAGAGUGUAGCAGAGGGGGGUAGAAUUCCACGUGUAGCAGUGAAAUGCGUAGAGAUGUGGAGGAACACCGAUGGCGAAGGCAAUCCCCUGGGCCUGCACUGACGCUCAUGCACGAAAGCGUGGGGAGCAAACAGG